AGUGCAGAUGCAAGACUGGGCACAGGAAGCACGUUUAGGCCAAAAAUCCCAAAGUGAAGCAAACUGAAGGAUGAAGAAAGAAUUGUGAGCAAAAGGCACGUGCAAGAAUGUUAAUCACGUUUAUCAUGAGUUGAGUCCAAGUUCAAAACAUCUCCAAGUCAGCUUCCCUCCUCGUGAGUUCAACUCUGCUCCACCGUGCCGGAGGUCGCCUCCAGUGGCGGCGGAGACCUACUAUCCAAAUAAAACGACAUCAUGCUCUUCAUCUUUUCAACCUGAUUUUAAAUCUCACCAUGAAACAACCUGAUUCCCUCUCAAAAAUUUGAAACAAAGCCACAUGUUGAAAUACCCUAAACCUUUGAAUCAAAAUUAAAAUCUUAAUUCUCGGAAUCAAAGCCCUAGAGGUUAGGGCUUUGAUUCCCUUAAUCCUCUUCUACACUCUCGUAACAAGCAUGAAGUGAAAUGAUGAAGAAAAAAUGAAAGCAACUCACAGAAGCAGCGCCGGAGAUCAGGAAGUGGUUGCAGGCUUUGUGUUGUUGAUGUAAAUUGUUGACCUGUGGGAUGUUUGCUUGAAUGAAUGGGAUGCCCUGUUGAUAUUGUUCAUGUGGACUGCUACUGAAUCUCACUUUGCAAUGUAAUGGCUUGCUAGGUUGCUGCAUCGAUUUUCUGCAGGAAAUGGAUGGAUGCAAGAAUGAUUGGUUCUUAAAGAACAAGGACAUUAGGGUUUAGGGAUUUUGAAAUGGUGAGUUGACUUUGGUCAGCUGAUUGACCAAAAAGUCAAUAGUUGACCAAAAGUCAACUUAUGCAAAAAUGUAAUUUUUCUUUGUAAUUUUUUCAAUGCAAUGUGUAUGGAUAAUGUAAACGUGACUCUAAUGAAUGCAAUGUAUCUUCUUUUGGUAAAAAAUAUUCAAAUAAAACAAUGAAACAAUUGGA